GGUCAGAUGGCCGAGUUGGUUAAGGCGCUGUGUUAAGGUCCUGAUUCGAUAUGAUAUCUUGUAUAUUAUAUCGAAUAUAUGUCUUAAUUCGCAGUGGAGCAAUCCGCCUGGGUUCGAGUCCCAGUCUGACCA